UCCACUGGCCUUAGGAGCCAUCAUUCU
rnacentral:tRNA from 1 species